GAAGGGGUGACUGGUGACAGAGUGAGGGAAUGACUAGUGACAGAGUGAGAGAGGGGGUGACUAGUGACCGAGUGAGGGAGGGAGAGGGUGACUAGUGACAGAGUGAGGAAGGGGGUGACACAGUGAUAGUCACCCCAUUCCUCCCUCUGUCACUAAUCACCACCUCCCUCACUCUCACUAGUCACCCCUUCCCUCCCUCACUCUGUCACUAGUCACACCCUCCCUCUCUCUGUCACUAGUCACACCCUUAC